UGCGUAACGCGUGAGCAACCUACCUCUAUCAGGGGGAUAGCCUCUCGAAAGAGAGAUUAAGACCGCAUAAUAUAUAAGACCGGCAUCGGUUUUAUAUUAAAUAUUUAUAGGAUAGAGAUGGGCUCGCGUGACAUUAGCUAGUUGGUAGGGUAACGGCUUACCAAGGCGACGAUGUCUAGGGGCUCUGAGAGGAGAAUCCCCCACACUGGUACUGAGACACGGACCAGACUCCUACGGGAGGCAGCAGUAAGGAAUAUUGGUCAAUGGGCGGAAGCCUGAACCAGCCAUGCCGCGUGCAGGAUGACUGCCCUAUGGGUUGUAAACUGCUUUUGUCCAGGAAUAAACCUUUCUACGUGUAGGGAGCUGAAUGUACUGGAAGAAUAAGGAUCGGCUAACUCCGUGCCAGCAGCCGCGGUAAUACGGAGGAUCCGAGCGUUAUCCGGAUUUAUUGGGUUUAAAGGGUGCGUAGGCGGCCUAUUAAGUCAGGGGUGAAAUACGGUGGCUCAACCAUCGCAGUGCCUUUGAUACUGAUGGGCUUGAAUCCAUUUGAAGUGGGCGGAAUAAGACAAGUAGCGGUGAAAUGCAUAGAUAUGUCUUAGAACUCCGAUUGCGAAGGCAGCUCACUAAGCUGGUAUUGACGCUGAUGCACGAAAGCGUGGGGAUCGAACAGGAUUAGAUA
rnacentral:rRNA from 1 species